rnacentral:rRNA from 1 species
AUAGUUUGAUCCUGGCUCAGGACGAACGCUGGCGGCGUGCUUAACACAUGCAAGUCGAACGAGACGAUUGAAAGCUUGCUUUUGAAAGUCGAGUGGCAAACGGGUGAGUAACGCGUAGACAACCUGCCGUAAAGAUGGGGACAACAGUCCGAAAGGACUGCUAAUACCGAAUGUUGUGGAACUUCCGCAUGGGAGCUCCACUAAAGAUGGCCUCUACUUGUAAGCUAUCGCUUUACGAUGGGUCUGCGUCUGAUUAGCUAGUUGGUGGGGUAACGGCUUACCAAGGCGACGGUCAGUAGCCGGUCUGAGAGGAUGAACGGCCACAUUGGAACUGAGACACGGUCCAGACUCCUACGGGAGGCAGCAGUGGGGAAUCUUCCGCAAUGGGCGCAAGCCUGACGGAGCAACGCCGCGUGAGUGAAGAAGGGUUUCGACUCGUAAAGCUCUGUUGUCGGGGACGAAUGUGGAGAUGGUGAAUAACCAUUUCCAAUGACGGUACCUGACGAGGAAGCCACGGCUAACUACGUGCCAGCAGCCGCGGUAAUACGUAGGUGGCGAGCGUUGUCCGGAAUUAUUGGGCGUAAAGGGAGCGCAGCGGGANUCAAGUCUAUCUUAAAANNGCGGGACUCANCCNUGGAGGGNUGGAAACUGG